CGGGGCGGGGCGAGAAGGAGAAAGCGCGCGGUCGUUUAUUUUCUGGAGCGCGGGCUUCUGCAGGACCGGGCGUCCUUAGGCGCCCUCUCCCGGGCUUGCCGGGUCUCCUGCCCUGCCCUCACGUUCACCCUUGGCGCGGCUGCGCUGAGAGAACGUGCGCCUCUCGCCCGGCUCCACGCCGCUUCUCCCGGGUGACCGCCCUGCGCUGGGGACCGCAAGACUGACGCCGCCCUUCACUGCGCCGCGCGGCCUGCCUGGCUUUGAGUGCGCUUAAUGCUUCCCGACUCCGAGCAGCUUCGUGCCCAGCCGGGCGCCGAGGACUGGAAAUACGAAAGGGGAUGAGGCAAGCUGUCUGGCCUCAGAGGUUACCGGUUUAGCUGGAGAGUGACCGACCCUCUUAGCCACGUGGCGAAGGAACGACGGGGGAGAGGGUGGACACCGCGGCAGAGCAGGCAGCGAAUUCCACAGAAAGGCUUCGUUUCUAAAAACUCAGUUUUUCAACACAGCCUCGCCUUUUUUUUUUUCUUUUUAAUGGAUGUCCAGAGAUUUGCCAACAGUUUUGAGGGUUAUAAAGCUAGAGGCUAAAUAACUGAGUUCGUAUUAGGGAGUUGCUGCAGGGGUGAAGAUUAGAGAGGACCAGGUUUUAUCCUGGAGAAUGACAGUGUGAAGGGACAGAAGCAGUACUUGGAAGGUAAAAUGGGAGUGAUUUCAAAUAAUAGCAGGUGGAGCCUUAAGAGAAAAGACUUUAAAAUGUCUCCCAGAUGCUGAGCUUGGUUCCCCAAUAGAGGUCAAAUAUAGAGGGGAAAAUAUAGGCGAGAGUACCAGAGGAAGUAAAUCAGUUUGGAAUCCUAUGUCUAUAUAGCGCUACACUUCCCAUGUUCCAUUUUCUCCCCUGCUCCCAGUGAAACUCUUGCCAAGAUGAGUAACAACUCCAGCUUUCCAAUUAUGGUGGUUACUUCCCUGUUUAUAUUUUACUCUGCUACUCAGCAUCAUUUUUUGCAAAUGAAAUACCCUCUCGUUUUGGCCUCCUUGAUAGUAGUUAGCUCCUCCUAUCCUGCCUCCCCUUCCUCCUCCUGCUCCUCUGUUUCCUGGGUUCUCUCGUUUGUUGUCUGAUUUGUCUGCCCUCCUUUUUCUACCUAGACUUUGCAAACUUUGUCCAAGUGCUACAGUACACAGACCUGGCUGGGCUCUCUCCAAGUCAACUAUUCCCAAGUUUUAAGUAUCCUUGCUGUGCUAGCCAAUAGGUAAAUAGUACUUACCAUGUGUGCUUUUUGAGCACUUGAAAUACGGUUAAACCAAAUUGAUGUGUAGUAAGUGCAAAAUAUAUAGCAAGUUCCAAAGACUUAGUGUGAAACAAAGCAUGUAAAAAAAAAUAAUAAAGCGUGUAAUACAUUGCUAAUUUCUAUACUGAUUAUGUGGUGAGAUAAUAUUUUACAUAUUUUGAACUAUUAUUUAAAAUUCAAUUUGGUUGCCCAACCAAAUAAUUUUACCUAUUUUUAUUUUUUCUUUGAUAGAAAAAUUUAAAUUAUAUAUGAAACAAACCUUAUAUUCCUAUUUGUCGGUGCCAGCUAUAUACUGUGCCUUCCAAAAUACCUCCAUUCCAGACCUCUCGCAUUAAGAUUCGUAUGCCAACUGCCCAUUUGACAUCACCAUGAGGACACCGAAUAGACAUCUCAAAUUUCUUACACUCAGAAUACAAUCCUUGAGUUCUCACGCAUGCUAUAUUUGCCGUAUUGACUCGGCCUCUUGUAGUGCUGGGAUUACAGGCAUGCACCACUGUGUCCCCCUUCAUUCUUUAAAAAAGAAAAGAAUUACAUUGUAUGGAUGUGCUGAUACAUGUUUAAAUUGCUUCCCAUAUUUUAUUGAAUUGCCUAGACAAUGAGCAUGUCACAUA